rnacentral:rRNA from 1 species
GACGAACGCUGGCGGCGUGCUUAACACAUGCAAGUCGAACGGAAAGGCCCCUUUUGUGGUUCUCGAGUGGCGAACGGGUGCGUAACACGUGAGUAACCUGCCCUUGACUUCUGGAUAACUUCAGGAAACUGGGGCUAAUACCGGAGAGGAAUCCUUGCUGCAUGGUGGGGGUUGGAAAGCUUCGGGGGUUUUGGAUGGACUUGCGGCUUAUCAGCUUGUUUGUGGGGUAGUGGCUUACUAAGGCUUUGUCGGGUAGCCGGGCUGAGAGGGUGACCGGCCACCUUGGCACUGAGGAGGGGCCCAGAAUCCUACGGGAGGGAGCUGGGGGGAAUAUUGCACAAGGAGCGGCGGCCGGAUGCUGCAAGGCUGCGUGUGGUAUGACGGCCUUCGGGUUGUAAACCGCUUUCAGCAGGGGCGAAGCUUGUGGUGACGGUACCUGAAGAAGAAGCACCGGCUAACUACGUG